CCAGGAUGACAAGUCUACAGAAUGGGACAUUAAAAUAGCCCAGAAUGAAAGGUAAUAUGUUAUGCAAGUUGGUCAUCAAUUUUUAAAGUGUAUAAGCAUAGUUUCUGAGCUGCUGGGAUAAGAAUAUUUGAACACACACACAAGACUCUAUUCUUCUACACAGUGAGUACUUCUGACAGAGACAUGUGGUUUGUUCCCCCAACACUGACCAGUUCUCUGACACCAGCUGGGUGUCCUAAAUUCAAUUGAAAUCUGACACUCUCAACCUAGGGUUAGCCCAGACAGGUUAAGUGUUCAGUCCCACAAGAUUGCCAUCCUCCGUUCAUAUACCUAUUGCAAAUCCAGGUGUGGAUCUGAUCAACCAGUUAUGAAUUAAAAGUUCUCAAAACUCCUUUCUCAAGUUUGAGAACUUGCUAGAAUUACUCAUUGAAUUCAGGGAAACAGGUUGCUUGCUGGAUUAUGGAUUUAUUAUUAAAGGAUGCAACUCAGAAGCAGCCAGGUGGAAGAAGUACAUACGGCAAGAUAUGCAGGAAUGGGCUUGCAGUUUGACGCUCUCUCCAGACACGCCACCUUCCUAGCACCCUCCAUGUGUUCACCAACUUGAAAGCCUUUCUGAACUUCUCUAGUUAAGCUCAUCUAAUAAGCUUGACUAUAGCUUGAUUUUUUUGAUUUGAGGUAUAGUUGAUUUACAAUGUUGAAUUGGUUUCUGGUAUAUAGCAAAGUAAUUGAGUUAUACAUUUAUAUAUGUACAUACUCUUUCUCAUACUCUUUUCCGUUAUGAUUUAUUACAGGACAUUGAGAAUGGUUCCCUGUGUAUUAUGUCAUAUGUUGUAGUUUGUAUCUGCUAAUCUGAAACUCCUGAUUUACCCCUUCUCCACUCCUUUUCCCCUCUGGUAGCCACUGAGUUUGUUCUCUGUGUCUGUGCGUCUAUUUCUGUUUCAGAAAUAGGUUCAUUUGUGCCAUAUUUUAGGUUCCAUACAUAAAAGAUGUGCUGCACGCUAAGUCGCUUCAGCCGUGUCCGACUCUUUGCGACCCUCUGGACUGCAGCCUGCCAGGGUCCUCUGUGCAUGUGGUUCUCCAGGCAACAACACUAGAGUGGACUGCCAUAUCUUUCUCCAGGGAAUCUCCCUGACCCGAGGAUCGAAUCCACAUCUCUUAAGUCUCCUGCAUUGGCAGACGUGUUCCUUACCACUAGCGCCAUCCCAAAAGUGUUAGUUGCUCAGUCUGGCCCCAUCCUGAAGCUAUCCAGGAGCCCACCAAAAGUUGCCUCAACAGAACAUAAGACGCUCCUAUUAUCCAGGAAAUUCCAAGGGAUUUAGGAGUUCUGUGACAGGAACCAGGUCAAAGGCCAAAUACAAGAACAAAAGAUGCUCCCAGGAAAUUAGAAAGGUUUUUAGGCGCUUUGGCCAGUAUCCUGGAAUGAAGACCAAAAUAUGUAUUUCUUAUUAUAACACAAUAUUUCAGAAACUAUAUGGAGUCUCUCAGACACUUAGUGUAAGGAGACUGGGAAUCUUUAUUUUACAAGUCUUAGCACUAGUUAUUAAGCCAGACACCAGCCUCUUCUCCCACUUUUGGAGGAAGGGAGGAGAAGGGGUCUACACAGCCACAGUUCUCAAGAGGAACAGGGCAAAGUCUAACACCCAGCUUCUAGGUUGAUCAGCACAUGAGGGAGGGCUGUGAAGUUUAAAGAUGACCUUCAAGUAAUUUCAAAAUGCCACCCACAUUGAGAAUCACUGAUUCAUGCUUUUGGGGGAGUGGGGCACACCUCCUGGCCUGCAGAAGCUUAGUUUGCUGAGCAGGGAACAAACCCAGGCCUGGCAGUGAAAGUCCUGAGUACCAGCCCCUGGGCCUCCAGGGAGUUCCCUGAUUUGUAUUUAAAAAAAUUAAUUUUUGCACUGAAACACACACAAUAUUUUAGAUAUCUUCUAAAUCUUGAAAGGUUAGAUUAGCACAGGCACAGCAUUAAUAAUUAUGAAAAUUUCCCCCAUUUUGAAAUAGUUAAAAUUAGAGUUCUAGGAAAUCCAGUAAUUUUACCAUUUUUGGUCUUUCCACUGGUGGCUGUCACCAGCUGCUUCAUAGGGAAGUCCAGAACCACUCAAUAUACAUACCCAGCUUGCAAAAUCAGGCAUGUUAUUCAUUUG
ensembl:lncRNA